GGUCUUUCGUAAUUGCCCAAUCGCGCCUAUAUAAUGGGGCGUCGGGUCCGCCCGACUAUGGCAAUAAACGUUUUGCGUAAUAAACGUUCGGACCCGGGGGCAGUACCCGGCGCCUCCACCAUUUUAUCGGCGUUUCCGCGGUCGUAGCCGCGACCGGAAUGGGGGCGAAACAGGAUCGACGGGCGCGUAAAGGCUCAACUUUUGCCCGGCAUGGUACCACCGACAUCGGGCCAUAUUCAUAGGUGCCAACGAUAAUGUUGAAACCUCUGCUAUUGCCGCUUAAUAACCGGUAACAAGCGCGGUUCGGGGGGCACCGGGCAACAGAAGCCCCCCACU
rnacentral:tmRNA from 1 species